UACGUAGGUGGCAAGCGUUGUCCGGAUUUACUGGGAGUAAAGGAUGCGUAGGCGGAUGUUUAAGUGAGAUGUGAAAUACCUGAGCUCAACUUGGGUGCUGCAUUUCAAACUGGAUAUCUAGAGUGCGGGAGAGGAAAGCGGAAUUCCUAGUGUAGCGGUGAAAUGCGUAGAGAUUAGGAAGAACACCAGUGGCGAAGGCGGCUUUCUGGACCGUAACUGACGCUGAGGCAUGAAAGCGUGGGGAGCAAACAGG
rnacentral:rRNA from 1 species